UCCUGGCCUCGCAGCAGGGGCCAAGGGUGAGGCUGCUCGCCUAUUAAAGGGGAACGUGAGCUGGGUUUAGACCGUCGUGAGACAGAUCGGUUUCUACCUACUGGGGGUGCGGGCCGCCUGAGGGUAGGGUCCUCCUAGUACGAGAGGAACGGAGGGCCGGGGCCAACGGUGUACCGGUCGUCCUACAGGGCGACGCCGGGUAGCCGCGCCCUUGAGGAUAAGGGCUGAAAGCAUCUAAGCCCGAAGCCUCUCCCAAAAAUAGGCGGCCGAUCGGG
rnacentral:rRNA from 1 species